rnacentral:rRNA from 1 species
GAUGAACGCUAGCGGCAGGCCUAAUACAUGCAAGUCGAGGGAGAACAUUGGAUUCGUCUGAUGGGAAACCGGCGCACGGGUGCGUAACACGUAUGCAACCUACCUAUAACAGGGGUAUAGCUCAGAGAAAUCUGAAUUAAUCCCCCAUAAGAUUAUGUUCUGGCGUCAGGAAGUAAUUAAAGCUAAGGCGGUUAUAGAUGGGCAUGCGUUGCAUUAGCUAGUUGGUGAGGUAAAGGCUCACCAAGGCUAC